AUGGCAGCCGCUGUUAAAACAUCAAGGAAGAAGAAGCGUGGAAAGUUGGAAGAAAUGCAUUCUCUGCGUGAAUUAAGAGAUGUAUUAACCAAACAGUUCUCUGCUGGAAGGAGUUGUCCACACUAUAACAAGACCGGUUUACCUGCUUCAUCUAAUGACAGAUUUCAGAAACUCAAACCUGGUUAUUAACCUUCAGGCUGUUUUAUGUUCCACCCCGUUGUUAUAUCACCAGACUGUUUUGCAGGAGAGGGAAGCAGGUCUCUAUUUCUGUUGGGCAGUGUUUGACCUGUGGUUGAGAGCUAUUUAAAGCAGUGUUGUUAUCAGUGGCACUAAUGGAACAUCCUUCUAAGGGUUUGUCUCUGACAGCAUUAAGGUUGUGCCAUUUUCAAAUAGUGGAAGUUUAAUCUUUUCACUGUGGUGCAGCCUAAUGCAUGUAAUUUUUUUUUAGAGCAAGAGGUACUUGUUGAGCAUACCAAUUCAUAGUCAUAUAUCUUAAACUGUAAGUGCUAUGUGAGAUCUUACCCCAUUCAAGAGUUUAAUGUGCUUUAUUUCCAAGUUACUGAAAGCACCACUAAAAUAUGGUGAUAUUUUAUGUAAUGACAAGGUUAUCUAGGUCUCCAUAAAGCACGUUUGUUUUCUAAAUUAGAUUUGUUUUCCACUUAAAUGGAUGGUCCAUCCCAAAAUUUAAAAUUUAAAAUCGCUCAUUAUUUACUGAAUCUCAUGCUAUCCCAGAUGUAUGUGGCUCUCUUUCUUGAGAUGAACACAAUUGAAUUUUUUUCAAUAAACAAUCCAUCUCUGUGAGUCCAUGUAAUUCAGAUGGAUGGAACCCAAUUCAAAAGCCACCCAGAGUAAACACAACUGUAAUUUAGUAUCCUUUUAAUGCAAAAAAAAAAAAAAAAGAGAGUCACAAUGUGUGGCCAAGAUCCACAAAUAGUGUGUCAGAAUUGUUUUUUUUUUUGUUUGUUUGUUUUUUUUAAGUCAAGUGAAUUUUAUUUGUAUUAUGCUUUUCACAAUACACAUGCUUUAUGUAAAUUAAAUUAAAAUCCUGUUUUUUUUAUAACUCUUUCUGUUCACCUUCUGUUUCUGAAGUUUUAUGUUUGCACUGUGUACAACAACAGGAAAAAUGGCUUUUAUUCGCCUUGUGAAGACAGCUUUUGAGGGCAUUCCCCAAGAAUGCAUAUUUGCAUUUCACUGCACUGCUGUUCCGUUGGUUAUUUUAUGUAAACUUGAAUUAAACUGAUGUGUUUGACUGCUGCAUCUCGCAACACAGUGUUCUAACAAAGGUCAAAUGUUUAAAUGCAAAACACUGUGUAGAAACUGUUUGUGCAGUGGGUUUUUCCAAACUCUGUUUGUGGGUUGAACAUGCUAGGACACGACCCUGCAGUGGUUUUGUGGUCGGCUCGGGUGCUGUACUCCCAGCAUGCUGCAUUUAGCUUCUUGACUUGAGUGCUGUCCCUGGUUUGUGUCCUCUGGCAUCCUGCAGUGGAGCCAGAGCCACUGACCCAUUUUCUUUCCUAAUGGAGUUUGUCCAGCCUAAUGCAUAUUGCUGAUACACCACAAUCUAAUGUAAGAUUUGGCAAACUCUUAUACGAGCCUCUGCAGUAUGAAACAAACAAGAAAGGUCAGUCAUCUUUGAGCUAUGUGCAUAGCUGAGUUGAAUGCUGUCACUUUCUACAUUUCAACCGGUGGUACAUAUUCAAUCAAUGACAAUCUUACUGAAGAGUAACUGCCAAAUGACUUCAGCAUAUCAAACUACAG
rnacentral:lncRNA from 1 species